rnacentral:rRNA from 1 species
UACGUAUGGAGCAAGCGUUAUCCGGAUUUACUGGGUGUAAAGGGAGUGUAGGUGGCCAGGCAAGUCAGAAGUGAAAGCCCGGGGCUCAACCCCGGGAUUGCUUUUGAAACUGCAGGGCUAGAGUGCAGGAGGGGCAAGUGGAAUUCCUAGUGUAGCGGUGAAAUGCGUAGAUAUUAGGAGGAACACCAGUGGCGAAGGCGGCUUGCUGGACUGUAACUGACACUGAGGCUCGAAAGCGUGGGGAGCAAACAGG